GGGCGCGUGGCUCAGCGGAUAGAGCAACAGGUUCCGGUCCUGUAGGUCGGGGGUUCGAGUCCCUCCGCGCUCG
rnacentral:tRNA from 1 species